rnacentral:lncRNA from 1 species
GUGAAGCCACACAACCAUGUGUUGUUCAAACCAUCCAUUUCUUAAUAAGUCUAAUGGGUUCCGACGGAUCUCAUCGCCAUUACAGCGGUUGUGGUGAGACAUUGGGGUAAAACAAUCCAGCCUAAUAAAUCAGAGCCAUGCUAGAGACAGAGCCUGUGACAUGCCAUCCAGUGCGUCGAUCAGGCUCGACGUCGAGCACAUAAAUCACAAUCUACUCAAAGGACUGCAGCGGCACAUAUAAUGUCAACUGCGUCAAGGUGGCUGCUGUCCCAAGCUUGAUCCACUGAUUACAAUACUCCAGGUGGUGUAUUACGUGGGUUCUCUUAUUUGUCAGUCUAAUCUAAUUCUCAAGGUCAGUCUGAUCUAAUUGUCACGCCAUUGUUGUCGGAUUAACUAUUCACCUACUAUAGAUGUUUUAUUUUGUUGUAUUUAACUUUUUUUUGCUCUUUUAGGUAGGACAAGUACACUCUCCGUCCCAAAUUAUAAUUCGUUUUAUUUUUCUAGAUGCCGGUGUUUAGACUCGACAACCUUUCUGUUACCGAUACUCACAAACUUUCUGCUGCCAACUUCAUCUGAUCCAUCCGCGAGAUGUCGUGCUUAUGCAGUUAUGCAGGGCACCUGCAUGGAUGCGAGGAAACGGCCAGUCCAUGAUGAUCCUUGAAGAGGCCAUCACACAUAUUCUCUACUUCCUUCACACAAAAGGUGAUUUGGUUAAGAUAAAAACAUGAGACAGAUGUGAAAGAACAAUAAUACAUGAAUGACUGCAGGCCAAAUUCUUGAUGAAGUUUUUUGAGGGCACCAACUUCUUUAUGACUUGGGUCAUAUAAGUAAACAAAGAAUUUGGGAUGCCAAUGCUGUCUUUGUUCAAGCCAUCAGUUGCCAUGAAUUGGAUGGAUGUAAACUUGUAAUGUGUAACCCACAAGAACUGUGCUUAUCUUGUAAUCUUGCUGUGAGAAUUUGGAGCAAAACAAACAGCCAUGCUAUGUCAGGGAAAGCAGUGAGGAGGGCACCAUGCCGGCGGUAGAGACAAGCCAAUACGGUAAGCGGGUAACGUGUCUAUGGAGAGCAAUGUGCCUAGUUCUCAAAUUGCUUGUGAGAUGAGCAUUCAGAUUCAUAUAUGUGGCAUGCAUAUGUACAUAUGUUACAAAGGUGAUGUGGAAUGAACAUUGUAUCUUAUCUAGACAGUCAUGUUAGUGUGCAUACCAGUCCGAGCCAAUGGGUACAAUUUUUGAGGAUGGGUUCAAAAAAGAAACUCUCCUCAUCGCUGUGCAGUGAAAUAUAUGGUCUAAUGUUACAACAAAAUAGGUGACCGCAGAAAUAGUUAGUGACACGUCCUUGUAGCUGGGAUUCAGGGGUUUUGUUCGCUUCCACAGAUGAGUUGUUUCGUCUUGGUGCAACACCCGGAGAGGUCUUUCCUCUGGUCUGAGUUCUUUUGUUUUU